rnacentral:rRNA from 1 species
CGGCAGCACGGGUGCUUGCACCUGGUGGCGAGUGGCGAACGGGUGAGUAAUACAUCGGAACGUACCUUAUCGUGGGGGAUAACGCAGCGAAAGCUGUGCUAAUACCGCAUACGCCCUGAGGGGGAAAGCGGGGGAUCGAAAGACCUCGCGCGAUUAGAGCGGCCGAUGCCUGAUUAGCUUGUUGGUGGGGUAAAAGCCCACCAAGGCGACGAUCAGUAGCUGGUCUGAGAGGACGAUCAGCCACACUGGGACUGAGACACGGCCCAGACUCCUACGGGAGGCAGCAGUGGGGAAUUUUGGACAAUGGGGGCAACCCUGAUCCAGCAAUGCCGCGUGAGUGAAGAAGGCCUUCGGGUUGUAAAGCUCUUUUGUCAGGGAAGAAACACCGGCUCUAACACAGUCCGGGAAUGACGGUACCUGAAGAAUAAGCACCGGCUAACUACGUGCCAGCAGCCGCGGUAAUACGUAGGGUGCGAGCGUUAAUCGGAAUUA